UACGGAAGGCAGCAGUGGGGAAUAUUGCACAAUGGGCGAAAGCCUGAUGCAGCUAUGCCGCGUGUAUGAAGAAGGCCUUAGGGUUGUAAAGUACUUUCAUCGGGGAGGAAAAAACAAAACUAAUAAUUUUAUUUCUUGACGUUACCCGAAAAAGAAGCACCGGCUAACUCCGUGCCAGCAGCCGCGGUAAUACGGAGGGUGCUAGCGUUAAUCAGAAUUACUGGGCGUAAAGAGCACGUAGGUGGUUUUUUUAAGUCAGAUGUGAAAUCCCUGGGCUUAACCUAGGAACUGCAUUUUGAAACUGAAAUACUAGAGUAUCGUAGAGGGAGGUAGAAUUCUAGGUGUAGCGGUGAAAUGCGUAGAUAUCUGGAGGAAUACCGUGUGGCGAAAGCGGCCUCCUAAACGAAUACUGACACUGAGGUGCGAAAGCGUGGGGAGCGAAACAGGGAUUAGAUACC
rnacentral:rRNA from 1 species